CAAUAGAUGCUCGACAUCAUAUUUUACACAACGAGGAUAGCUUGGAACGAGAAGGCCGACAAAUAGGAUUAUGUAGAUGCAAGAAUCGCCGCGAUACAGGAAAAUGUUUUUUCAAGUGCCCGGUUUAUCUACGUCCUUGCGGAAGUUGCGGCAGCUUUUAUGCUUGCUGUAAUUGAUGCUACAAUGUUUGCCUUGGUGUUUUACCUCUAUUGCUGAAGCAUAUAUGUAGUUUCUAGGUGUACAGAUAUUUUAAUUUCAAAUAAAGAACAGCUCAUUCAUGGAGCGU